GGCCCCGCCUCCGCCCUAGGCUCACGCGAGCUGGGUGUUUCCUGUCUUUCUUAGUCCGGGUUUGGAGACUCCGGCGUCCUCCGGCUUUUCAUGGAAGAGAUGUCAGGAGAAAGUGUGGUGAGCUCAGCGGUGCCAGCAGCUGCGACCCGCACCACUUCGUUCAAGGGCACGAGCCCCAGUUCCAAGUACGUGAAGCUGAACGUGGGUGGAGCCCUGUACUACACCACCAUGCAGACGCUGACCAAGCAGGACACCAUGCUGAAGGCCAUGUUCAGCGGGCGCAUGGAGGUGCUCACGGAUAGUGAAGGCUGGAUCCUCAUUGACCGGUGUGGGAAGCACUUUGGUACCAUACUCAACUACCUUCGUGACGGGGCGGUCCCCUUGCCUGAGAGCCGCCGGGAGAUCGAGGAGCUGCUGGCAGAAGCCAAGUACUACCUGGUCCAGGGCCUGGUGGAAGAGUGCCAGGCAGCCCUGCAACAGAACAAAGAUACUUAUGAGCCUUUCUGCAAAGUUCCUGUCAUCACCUCAUCCAAGGAAGAACAGAAACUUAUAGCGACUUCAAAUAAGCCAGCCGUGAAGUUGCUCUACAACAGAAGUAACAACAAAUACUCGUAUACCAGCAAUUCUGACGACAAUAUGUUGAAGAACAUCGAACUGUUUGAUAAGCUGUCGCUGCGCUUUAAUGGAAGGGUCCUGUUCAUAAAGGAUGUCAUUGGGGACGAAAUCUGCUGCUGGUCCUUCUACGGCCAGGGCCGCAAGAUCGCUGAAGUCUGCUGUACCUCUAUCGUCUACGCCACCGAGAAGAAACAGACCAAGGUGGAGUUCCCUGAAGCCCGGAUCUAUGAGGAGACCCUGAAUAUUUUGCUGUAUGAGGCCCAGGAUGGCCGGGGACCCGACAACGCACUCCUGGAGGCCACGGGUGGGGCGGCCGGACGCUCCCACCACCUGGACGAGGACGAGGAGCGGGAGCGGGAGCGGAUCGAGCGCGUGCGGCGGAUCCACAUCAAGCGCCCGGACGACCGGGCCCACCUCCACCAGUGAGCGGGCAGGGGCCCCGCCUGCACCCCGCCCGCCCUGCUCCUCCCCGCUGUGCACUCAGAUUCCCCGAGAGCUCCCGGGCCUCCCGCUGCCCCCGCGUCCGGAGAGACUGCAUAAAAAGCCAGAUGACGAUUUUGGUAUUUCUCGACCAGGUGAAUGGAUUGUCUUUACCCAGGUGAACACACCCCUGCCAGUGAACAAGCUGGGUCCAAGGUCUCUGCUUUCCUGAGAAUCCGAGAAGCACUGGAGCCAGGCUUUCCUGGUUCUGGAGGAAGAGGAUGAGUGGGUGUGGUGUGUGUGUGAGAACUUGUCUGCGGUAUUUAUUUCUGUGGGUGUUGACUGCCUCUUUGAGCUUCUUGGGCCGCCUUUCCUCCACGGUUCAGUUUGUCAACUCCGAAACGGGUCCUGUAGUCGGUGUCUGCGAGCUCAGUGUUUCCUAACUCCGCCCCAGCACCCUGGCCCCAUUCCCGUGCCCGGCACAGGCUCCACGGCUUUGCGAACACCCCGUCCCGCCUCGGGCAUCGAUCCUGGAGCUUGUUGGUGAAGGACCACAGCUCUUAGCAGUGGAGAUACCACCUGGGGGUUCCUGCCUCUCAGCCGCUGUUCCUAGUGUGGCUCUGGAUGCCCAGCUCCGUUGAAGGGGCAGGCCUGUUGCCCCUUCUGCUGAUCUGUGGUCUGGUGCUUGUUGGGACCCUGCAGGGCCUGGCCGAGAGCAGAGCUGCCCCUUCCUCUGCCCUCCUUGUUGACCCACUCCAUUCCGGGAAGGCUGCCUGGCCUGCUUAUGGGCACAGCGUACAAACCACUGCCCGGUGGGUUCCAUUCCUUCCUCUUUGGCCUUAUGCCCCGUUAAGCGGGGCUUACUGCCCCCAGCGGAUGCCCUGCCCUUUGCUUAGAAGAAAUUAAACAUGGCCCCAGACUCUUUUCUGGCGUCCAGACAGGACCACUGCUCACACCAGCAGCCUCAGGACGGUUCACCUGCUGUCAACGCAGCCGUCGCCUGGAGAUCCCUUCCUGUCUCUGAUCCUUACACGGUGUGGAGUGGCCAUCGGUGAGCAGACGGAGAGGACGUGCAGAUCCUUUUGGGUCCGGUCAGUGUGCAUGUUCAUGUUUGUUUAAGGGACGUGUGCGAUUGUGGAUGAGGAUGUGUGCCCAUGGCGCCUGGGUGGCCCGCGCUGGAGCCCUGCUGUCUGCACGGCGCUCGUGUGGGACGGACGUUCUCGGUUACCUACCUCCCCGUCUCCGCGCCCGCCCGUGACGCACAGAGGGAGUGGUGACAAAUGUGGGUGGUUGAGACUAGGCUGGUAGAGUAGUUCCAAGGAGAUUCGGAUGUGUGUAAGGUAUGGAUGGGUUUUGUCUGCUAUUCAAGGGAAACAUUACCAUUUUAUACCAAAGGUAUUAACACGGGCAGCCUUUGAUACAGUGCAUUCGAACAAAACGAGUUUAUAUUUUGAAAUGGUUUUUACAGCUUAGACUUUGUACACCCUGCCCUACUUGUGACAGUUGUAUGCCUUUAUUUUGUAUCCAGCAGCAAAGCCUACAAUAAAACUUUAAAACAAUCAUGACCCAACCUAAAAAUCAUGUAUCGGGUAGAUGCUUUUUAAACUGUUGUGUGGGAAACUUUCAUAUUAGGCCAUUUGGAUUUUAUUAAGUGCUAAGGAUGGGAGGGGAGGGGGCUUAAAUAAUGUUUUGUAAAUAUUUUAUACUGUUUAAGUUUUAAACACCAACCCUGCUGUUUGGGUUGAACUUUUUUAGAAAGUUAAAGUGAAUGUCAGUUCUGAUGUUUUCUAUAGGAAUGGAAAAGCCAUCAUGUAAGUUCUGUUUUUCAAAUGUUUACGUGAAGAGUAACUAACUUUGUGGAACAGUCUGAUUAGUUGGGGCUUCUACACCUUAUGACCAAAUGUUUCUGGCCGUCUCUCUACUUUCACAUUUCCUUCAACUUUGCACUUGUAGUUUGGAGUCUUUGCUUCCCUGGGAUAUGAACAAGUUCAUGAAACAUUCCAUGGUGAGUGAUACUGUUAGUUGCAUACAGCUGUGAGCUGACAAUGACAAAGUGUUGGCUAGUCCAGGCUCUGUUAUCAAACAUAUUCUACAAAGAAGUGAUUUCUUAUGUGAGCGCUAAGGGCAACAAAAGUCAAUAUUUGUAUUUAAGAACCAUCCAAGUAAAAACAAACACUGGCCUAAGAUUUGGUGAAGAGCUAAGUUUUAUUACACUGUAAUAACUUACAAUGGAAAAAGCAGAACAGCUUUGGGUCCCUCGUAAUGAGGCUUUUUUUCAAAUAAGUCAUCUGAUUGUGGUGACUGGGGACCUUGCCUCUCCAUCGUCCUCCUGUAGUGGCUUAGCAGGGCGGUCGCUGUGCAGGUACCCUGGCCCUCCCUCUGGAAUGUGUGUUUUCUAGGGCUCCACCCAGGGUCACUGUAACACGUGUGUGUCACUAACCUUUCUGUCUCUUUGUGCCAUGGAAAAAAACGCUAUGAGCUUCAGAAGUAGUCACUGUGUGUUGUACAAGCAUCUGUGGACAUAUGUAAAAUAAAAGUUGUAUAACGCUUCUACUUAAAUCUGUUUUUCUGGGUCUUUUCAGAAAUGCCCAGCACAGUCCAGCCACUGAACUGAAGUGCAGUUCACAGGAAAGAGAGCAGAGAUCCCACCUUCUACUUCACCACCUAAAGGUUGCUGCUCAGGGUGGAAAAGAUGAGUCAUUUUUCCGUAGUGUUUGAACUCACUCAAACACUGGACGGAAGCCUUGGGUGGAAAUGCUGCUGGGCUUGUGAAACAGCGGUCGGCUGCUGUUGCCUCCGACUGCAGGUUUGGGGUGGGGAGAGCUACACCUCACCAUGUGGAGCCUAAAGCCGUGCAGGCACUGGGUAUGUUUCUGAGUUCCAUUUAUUUAAAGCAAAAUUCAGAUUUUGCAGCUUUAUGCUCUCAGACUACGUAUAAUACUUCAUUGUGCCCCAGGGGCAGCAUGACAAAGAGAAUCUGUCAUCCCCCCAUACUGACAUGUUCAAGUGCUCGUCAAGUGUAGGUCCUAUUGGGGAUGUUUAAAAUCACCCCCUUGGGUGACUUGAGGUUGGCUCCCUAAAGAGAACAUGUAGUGCGACAGAACACCUGAGGGUUUGGCCUUUGGCAUAAGAUGCCACUCUGCUUCUUCAGGGACGAUCCUUUUCCUAGAGCUGCUGGAACCUUUGCUUGAAGGUGUCGCUAACUGGACCAAAUUCGAGCUUUCCUCAGUUGCAGCAGAAACGGCGAUGGGAGAGAUCACAUGUCAUCCUCCAUCAGGACUUCCUGCGGACCGACACCUGGGGAAGGUACACGCUGAGGUUCAGAGGUCUCCCCUCUCACUCAGGAGGAGGCAGUGAGCGGUGCAGCCGCCUGCAUGGUUGAGGGGGACGUGGACAAGCUGCGAGCAGCCAAGCCCCGUCACCCACACCGUCUCCUGCCCCACCUCCCGUGAGACAAGCCACAUCCAGAAAUGGGCUCACUGAGGCCUCAGCUUCCGCCUGAGCCAGCCAGGGAGGAAUGGGGACACUUAACAUUGAAUGACUUCCUGAGUACAGACGAAACCACCUACCUUCCUUGAACAACAUUUACAAUGUUCUCCUUCUUAGCCAGCAUGACGAGUUUGGUAACUGCCUCAAAUAUGUGUUCGCACUGUAAGACGGCAUCCCCCUGCGGCAGAGAGGAGAGAACACGGCCGGUUCAGUGGUAGCGGCUUCACGGAAGAACAUCACUGAGGCUUCACUGGGGGCAGCUAAAGAUUUAGGCAGUGUUUCCCUCUGUUAGCAGCCCUGUGGCCGUAGGUUACCUUUUGCCUGUUGCCUUCUGGCGAAACGUGAAUGACUAACAUUCCGUCGCUGAAGCUGCUGGUAGAGACACCUUAGGACAGAUCCAAAGUUAGAGGCCAAGAAUUGGACAACUUGACAUUAAUACAGAAAAAAGGCAUGCCUGGGGGGUCCCCAACCCCAGGCUUUUUCCCUCCUAGCUGGGCCAAGUGGGGUGGCCCUGCAAUCAGCACCUGUGCUCGGAAUAAAAAGCUGGUCCCUGUCAAAGGUGACUAGUGUCCGAGCCGGAUGCCGGAGUGAGAUGCCGUUGGCGUUUGUGCCAGAAUAAGAGGCACAGCCCGGGCCGCCCUGGGUUUUGUGGGCAUCUUCACUUAGGUCUUUCAAUGAAAGGCUGCUGCAUUGCUGGUGUGCCCGGGAGCUGAGUCAACCCAGUGAAUUUUCUGAAGGUUGCCUGCUGCUUACCUUUGAGCGCAGGGUACUCUAUUUUCUGCUUGAUUUUGGCAAGUUCCACCACGUAAGCUGCUUUCUGAGUGAGAAUGAGUUGCCUCUGCCGUGUCUUGAAGCCUUUCCUGUCGUAUUUAAUGACCGGGAUACCGUACUGCAAGGAGGUGACCGUCACUACGAGGCGACGCUUGCUUCGCGGGGGAGGGCGGCAGCGUACCGGGUGCCUUGUUACUCGGCCUCUGGAAAUGUUGCUUCGAGCACCCGAACGGAGAGGGGCUCAAACAGAUCUUGCAUAAAUGAGUUUUCCCUGAACCCUGGCUCUCUGCCUGAAAGGCUGUGUGUGAUUCCUGGCUCUGCCUAUGACGUUGACCUUCUGAGGUAUUCAAGGCCACAGCCACUUGCCUCACGGGGCUGCUCUGAAAGGUCAGCAGCGAUGAAGACACUGCAGGCGUUAAGAGCCCUGACAGCCAGAGGGUGAUCCAACCUAGUCACAGGUUUCUAGUCCCCAGGGACCAAAGUGACCAAGCAGCAACCGGAGGAAGUCACCAGCUGCCGCAUGCCAGGCCGCAGCCUGUGCCCUUCACACCAUCAACCCCUCCGUCCUCCCCAUUCACAGAAGGAUGGAGGCACCGAAGGCAUAAGUCACCUGCCCAGGAUCACACAGCUAAGUUAUGAAACCCACGUCGGCGCCCAGGCACACUGCUUCUAAUAGGGGAUGUUUAACGAUUAAGUGUAUGCCUGCAUUUCGCUUAACUUCAUAGAAAGCCACACACAGUUCCUGGGUGACGGGUGAGGGCCAUAAGAACAGCCGCAGGUACCUAAUAGUCACGUAACUGUGAUCCCUACCAUCUUGACACCCAGAGCAUCACAGCUGAGUGCCCGGCCCACGCACACGCACCCCUGUCUUUUAAUAGUGCUUCCAGACCCCCUUCACGUAGAAGACAGACCCUGUUCUCAGACCCCACGGGGGAAUCCUGUCUCAGGCAAGGACACACAUUUCCUUACCUGGAUUUCCUCACUGCUGAUGAGCUGAAGCACUUUGGGAUUAAUGUCUCCUUCAUCUAAGGAAGCAACCAGAGCACAGCAAAUCACUAAAUACCACCCCUGUGCACAGGCCGCUGGCAUCUGCUCGUUUUCUGUUCCUCUGUGACCAAGAGCUCAGCCUGGGAGCUAGCUGUCAGGAAAUGCGGAUCAAGCAUCUUCCUUUGACUUUUUUUUUUUUUGAAAUAGGGGAAUUGAGCACAUAGAUGAAAAAAGGGACUUACCUAUUCGGCUGUUGGCAAAGGGUUGAUUUAAGCUUUCUGCAUAGCCUUCUUUCUUCCCCCUGAAUAUUUCACUUGUAACCACCUUUUGCUGCAUCUGGUAAUACAUAAUUAGAAGUACAAAAUGGUAGCCAUGAGGCUUUUGGGGACCUAAAGAGGUCCACACUAGUGCUUGCUUUCCUGAAUAAGUAAGGCUCCUCAAGGAGCCUUGUCAUACUUCUUCUGCAUAGGAGUCAGAACACAUAGAAGUCAAACACAUUUGGCUUUGGCCAAAAUGCCUCAAAAAUUCUACUGAUUAGAGUCUGAAGUUGACACUUAGGCUUGUCUCUGCUUGCACGGACUUCCUGGAAGUGGAAUUUUCAGAGUUGAGAGUUUCUUCUAGGUCAGAGAUCCCAAACUGCAGCCCGUGGGCCAAAUCCAGUAGUUUUUUUGGAGCGCAGCCAUGCCAUCCAUUUACAGGUUGUCUCUGGCAGCUCGUGUGUACCAGGACAGAAUAAUUUCAACAGAGAUGGUGUGGCCGGCAAAGCCUAGAAUAUUACCCUCUAGCUCUUUACAGAAAAAGUCUGCUGACCAGCAAAUGAACAUAAAGAGAACUACGCCACCGGCAGAGAAGGGGCCCUGCAUGCUUUGCGGUUCAGAGGCCGUCUAGAUGAUGUUCCCAUGGUAACAAAAGAGCGAUGCUACUUUGAACAGCUGCCAGUUAACGAGGGCUCUGUGCUAAGUGGUCUCCAUGCGUUUCAUCCUCAAAGCAUGUAUGAGGCAUGAGCCUUGUGUGACCCCUGGCUUACAGGUGAGAUGGUGGGUGAGGAUUGCUGACAAGGGGCCAGCACCCACCCCUCCAGCAUCUUGCCACCUGCCCGCAACGCCACGUCCCUACCAGGGCUUUCCUCUCGGCUGCGAUCCCUCGGCAGUACUUCCGGACCAGGUUCCUCAUGCACAUUUUCCUGAGCAGAUUCGAUGCCUGCGUGGAGAACACUUCUUUUCCACCUGCCUCCUUCACCCGCCCCCGCUUUAGGCUUCAGCCGCCAAAACAGAAGCUUUGAAAGCACAGCUGAAUUCAGUGUGAGGUAAAGGACAGCCUUAAUAUUUUCUAGUCAAAGAAAGCAGCUCAUCUUCCAGUCUUGGGCUCACUGUUUGCCGCUGCUAAACUAGUGGUUCCUGAUCUUGAAUGAGUUUUGAGUCACCUGAGUUGCUGGCCAGGAGGUUCCUAGAGACGCUGAUUCAAUGGGCCCGGGUUGGGGCCCAGGAAUCUUAGUCACCCCCACUCUGCGCUCCAGACACAGAGGGUCCCCAGAGCAUCUACUGAGAAACACUGUUCUAGGCAACAGUCCCUAAACCCAUCUGUAAAUGUUACAUCAAGGACAGAAAGCAUUCAAGAGUGCUCUGUGUAAACAGACCUCCACGGGCUUUAUAAUUCUAGAGAGGAUAUACGAAUUGCGAAGAGUUAAAUCCCUUGGGCAUCACUCUUGCAGGGAAGUGGUUUGUCUGCUGAGGCAGCCCUUUCAAGGCGAGGGGGGCGGCACCAAAAGAUAUACAAGUUAAGCUCCAUCCGUGCCCACGCCAUUUGCAACGUGAGUCCUGGAACAGUCCUUACAUUUUCCAAGAGGCCAGGAGGCCUCAGCCAGCUGUCGUCCAAGACGUUCUCUGGGACGUGAUACCGAAGAUUCAAGAUGUAAUUCUUCCGCACGAACACGAUGAACUCCUCAUUGUCAGGACAGAGGGGCUUGUUGCGAUGGAUGAAUCCCUUUAUGAACCUAAGCGGGAGAGAGUUUUGUUAGUUUUCUAUUUCUUCACUUCCCAUUUCUUCACUGAAACUUGCGUUCUCUCCCCCACUGGUUUGAUUUAAUGGUGGCCAAAACGGUGGAGAUUACUUUGUUCUCCAAGUAGGGCCACAGGCCAAAUCUGGCCCAAAGAUAUGUUCUAUUUCACCCACACCAUUUUUUGUUUUCUUUUGAGUGACUUGAAUUCAUUGCCAACAACAAACUGGGAAGUAUUACAUGAAAGCCAGAUUUCCAGCUUUCCUUGAAAAAAAAAGAUCUGCCAACACUGGGCUGGCCGCAGUCUGCUAAAGUGGAGUAGUGACUGCCCCUCUUAGGUGGACUGAGCUUUCCAGUUUGCCACAGUCCCUACCCUACCUUAUUGCCUUAGCCCAGCUCAUGAGACUCGCUGUCCCUGCCUGGCCUCAGAAGGCAUUCGACUUUGUGACUUUUGAACUAGGCUAAGAGAAACAACAAACGUUCUGAGUUGCGAUCACUGUCAAAUUAGGAAGCUCAGAAGAAGGAGAGGGAACAGAAUUCCUAAGGGUUGACAUCCUGCAGGGAAGAUGACUUUUCUGCCCAGAGCCAAAACCUCCAAGUCCAUGACCACCCUCUGCAGCACAAUAGCACUUAGAGACCUUUCCUCCCUACUGGACCCAACUGAGAACUUACUUUCUUAUAAUCUGCACAGCCCACUUUCUCCUUUUGGCCUCCUUCCGAGCCAGGGCUCCACGCCAGUGGGCUUCAAGUUUAAUGGCUGAAAGAGUUCACUGCUGGCAUUAGAAGGUGAGCACAAUCACUUAAAUACAAAAGCCUUUUCCAGAAUUAUUCAUCCACUCCGCAAACACCUGGAUGCCCAGCACCGCACUCCGCUAGCCCCCGAGAUGGAAAGUGGGAUGAGAGUCAUCAGUCUCUACCCGGAUGUGCCCAGACGGACAACUGAACCAGAGUGACAGAGGAGGAGAGGGUGCUGGGAAGCAUCAAGGGAAGCUCCAAAGUUACACAAGGGGCCAGCUUUCUGAGGUCUUUUUGAGGGACCAGAGUGGCGCUUGACGGCACAGAUUAGUCUUGCCACUGCAUUUGCUUUGUCUCGCCCCAUGCUUAGUUUUAGUUGUCUACGUUAAAAAAUGGGGAUACAUAAAUUGGGAUACACAAAAAUUAGAUUUCUGGCUUGUGUCCCAAUUUUCAAAUGCUUUUCAGAUUGUUUUUCCAGUUAAUUCAGAUAUUCAAAAUGCUUUUCUUUUAUUCCUCAUGGCCACAUUGUUACAAAAACAAACAACUGGAAACAACCCAAAUGUCCAUCAACGGAACAGCUCAAUUGCGGUACGCUCAUAUAGCACACAGGGGUCAGCAAACUGCGGCCCUCGGGCUGGCCACCUGUGUCUGUAAGUAAAGUUACUGCAACAGAAAUGUCGCAGAAGAAAAAUACAAACAGCAUAAUUUUAUGGAGUUCAAAACAUUCCAGCCUACAAGUAUAUUAUUUAGUGAUGCAUCCAUAGAUGAUAAAAUUAUUAAAAAAAAACAAGGAAAUAAGGGAAAGUUCAGAAGAAUAGUGUGUGUGUUGUGGGGGGAUGCGGAGAAGUGAUUGAGGAGGGACAAAGUGCAGGGGCUCCAAGUGCACUCAUGGUGUUAGUGAAUAAAAAUAAUAGAAUUAUUUUUUAUUAAUAAAAAAUUAUUCUUUAACAUGCAUGGACUUCCCUGGUGGCACAGUGGUUAAGAAUCCACCUGGCAGUGGAAGGGACGUGGGUUCGAGCCCUGGUCCAGGAAGAUCCCACGUGCCACAGAGCAACUAAGCCCGUGCGCCAUAACUACUGAGCCUGCGCUCUAGAGCCCACGAGCCACAACUACUGAAGCCCGCAUGCCUAGAGCCUGUGCUCUGCAACAAGAGAAGCCACCGCAAUGAGAAGCCCGCGCGCAGCAAUGAAGACCCAACUCAGCCAAAAAUAAAUUAAAAAAAAAAACAUGCACAUGUUGUGGAUCAAAUAAAACAUGUCUGUGUAACAAGUACAGGCUACAUUGUUGAGUAAAAAUGAGGCCCCAGAACCAGACCCCAAGAAUGCCCGACACCAAGGUUUCAAGGCCAGGCAGGCGAAAAGGAUGCUCAAAGGAACCUGUGCGUCUAGGUGCCAUGUGGAUGAGAGGGAAACUUGUCCACGGCAAACCUGAGAGGUCCUGUUCAGUUCUUACCUGCUUGUCUUUUUCUCACGUAUGCUCUCCUUUCCAGGCAGCCUUUGUACAUGGCUUGGAUUCUCGCAACUUAAAAGAAAACAAAACUUUUGGUGAAAUGGCUUUCAGUUGUGCAGCUUGGUAGGUGUGACCUUCGGAGGAGGUGUCGGCUGUGGCCCUAGGGGCACACAGGGUAGAGGUGACAGGAAGCCACGGGAUAUGACGGGAUAGAAACGAGAGUGGGCGGGUUACGUUCAGCCUGAGUGCCAGAGCUGGCCAGUAACUGGGGCUCCCUUUCUUCCUCUUGCCUUCCCCCAGCUAAGGAACAGAACCACCAUCUGGAGGGCUUGCUGGCCCCUGGUUCUAGGCAUUGUAUUUCAUCCUCCCACCCAACCCUGCAAGGCAGGCAGGCAGGCAUCAGCACAUUUGACAAAGCAGAUCACAGACCCAGCCGGUGAAGACCCUUGCCAGGUGCGAGGCAACCACGCGGCUAUGAAGCAGGAGUGUGAACCCAGGGCUGUGGAACCACACACAUGCCGUGUAGCUUCUCCAUUCACUGUGUGCCCCCUGCACCCAGUGACUGGGGUCCCCCCACAGACCAGGCUCCUCGAGGGUCCCGCACACCAGCAGCAUCACAUCCCCUGGGAGCUGGGUAGAAAUGUUAACCCAGGCCCCCGCAUUCAGCACCUGCCCAUGAACCUGAUCCUGGGUGAUCAGUGCCCGCUGCCGGAGGGGUCAAAAACAGACCACCAACAACAGUGGUUACGAGCCCAGGCCCUGAAGCCAGACAGACACACACUCAAACCCCCGCUCUGCUGCUGUUGGGCCUCAACUUCCCCACAUGUAAAGUGGACAUGAUAAUACCACUCGUCCACAGGUUUGUUCCGAGAAUACAAUGAGAUCAUGAAUACAGCAAGCACUGAGAUUACUCAAGCAGAGCUGGUCUCAGCAGGCCAGGUGAGAUCUCAGAGGGGAAGCCCCUACCCCCUGGUCGUUUUCAUUUGUGAUUUUUUGCAUUUUCCUCCCGUCUAAGUUUUCUUAUUUACCAUUCACAACAAACACCCUGGCUGUGGGCUUUGCAGCUACACCUUCCGACAUCAGACACAUACAAAUGAAGUUUAAAAAAAACCCUUCAUUUAAGGGGGAUGGACUCCAUGGGUUUAGGUCCUGGUGUGGCACGACAAAGUUGGAUCCAAACUAAAAAUGAGGCAGAACUGCAGUGUUUAAGUUUCCAGGUGCAUCCGUGACAGCCCUCCAAACAUAAGGGAUAAAUUCACCUGUGUCUUAUAAUCCUGUUGCCUUGUUCUGGGUUAAGGCAUAAGUUCACCUGUAUCUUAUAAUCCUGUUGCCUUGUUCUGGGUUAAGGCAUAAGUUCACCUGUAUCUCAUAAUCCUGUUGCCUUGUUCUGGGUUAAGGCAUAAGUUCACCUGUAUCUUAUAAUCCUGUUACCUUGUUCUGGGUUUCCAAAGCCAGUGCUUCUACCAUUAUAUCAAACACUCAUGUUUAAGAUGUUUCCCAAGCUAAGCUUGUUCAUAUCACAUUCUGUUAAAAUCAGGGCAGGAAAAAAAAAAACCAUACCUAAUUGAUGUUUACUAAAUUCAAAGGCAUCUUCAGUAGCAAACAGAGUUCUGGGGAAGCGAAUGAAUAUUUUGGAUCUAGAAAUGAAAAAAAUGUUUUCAUUAUUAACUGGUCGUCACCGUCUGUAGUGGAUUCAAUAGUGUCCUCCCCCCACCCCCAAAGUCACAUCCACUUAGAUCCUCAGAAUGUGAUUCUUAUUUGGAAAUACGGUCUUUGCAGAUGUCAUCAAGGUAAAGAUUGAGAUAAAAUCACACUAAAUCCAAUGAGAGUGUUCUUAUAAGAGAGAGGGAAAGACGCACAGACGCAGGGGAGAAGGCCGUGUGAAGACAGAGGCCGAGAUUGGAGUGAUGCCACAAGCCAAGGAAUGUCAGGAGCCACUGGAAGCCGGAAGCAGCAAAGAAGGAUCCUCCCAGAGAGACGUCAGAGGGAGCACGGCCCCGCCAACACCUGGAUUUUGGCCUUCUGGCCUCCAGAAAUGUGAGAAAAUAAAUUUCUGUUGUUUAAAGCCAACCAGUCUGUAGGUAAUUCAUUAUGCAGCGCUAGGAAGUUAAUUCACCUUUCUAACCCAAAGUGACUUCCCUGGGCUUUAAAAAGUGAUGACAGAGAAUAUGGGUCUAAGUUUAGGAGAAGAUCCCAUCAGCCAGCAAAGGUAAAUUAUAAAUAUCGAGCUCCUAUUGCCUGCCCUCAAGCCCCCCGGCCACCCACGCUUUGAGGGAAACUUCCCAGGCCAGCCACUGGGGACAGCAGAGCAUCGUGCCACGUGAACCCAUCAGAGGUUUUAUAACGGGGGCAGAUAACACCUCUGACCUCCAUGACCCACCUCCCACUGGAUGUGCUAAGCCCUAUUCCUGAGAAAUCUGGCUUGGAAAAGUAACUGCUCCUCGCAGCAGGGCCCAGAAUAGAAGAAUAAAGGAUGGAACGGGGCCAGGGUGGUCAUAGAGGGCCAUGUACAAGUUGGCAGGGAAAGCCCACUGACAGAUUCAAAGGCAGCGAUCCCUGACGCUGGAAUCUCUGCGGCCUGGGAGUAGAUCCUCUUCAUGCGUGGGCCCUGUGCUUUGCAAUCAAAUGAACGCUGACCAAAACGUCUAAGAGAACAGAUGAAAAUUAUCCUGGUUCACCCCACUGAGUCCUGCCUUGAUGCUUUCAACGUGUACGCAAAGUCCUGCUCACGGACGACAGCUCUACAGUAAUGAUACCUAGAGUUCUAGAACACCACUUUCUGGGAGAUGCUAGAGGAGCUUUCUCAUCGCAGAAGUCCAAAUAUCCCCUCCGAGAAGUCAUGCAUACACUUUGAACAAUGAAAGAAUGUAGGCACAGAGAGAUUAGGGGAUUCGCGCUGACACCCUCCUCAUUUUGUGCACAAAGAAGCUCAUCCCAGUCUCCAGUGCAGGUUUAGAACCCGGGGCUCCUUUAUACUUAAUCCCCUCCAACAGGCAACUAUGUAGCCUUUCUAACCACUUAGCGCUUGUGAUACGGUGCUUUAUAAUAAGAAAUACGUAUUUGGUCUCUGUCCCGUUCCAGUGUCACAGCUCCCAAAACCCUUGUAAUUUCCUAAGUGAUUAGAGCAAUGGGGCAUCUUUCGCUAUGAUCUAUCUUUUGGUUUUUGUUCCUGAAAUAGCUUCAAAGUGAUAAAGGGGAAAUGGGUGUCUUUUUAAAAAUUCUUUUCCAUUAUGGUUUAUUAUAGGAUAUGGAAUAUAGUUCCCUGUGCUAUACGGUAGGACCAUGUUGUUUAUAGUAGUUUGUAUCUGCUAAUCCCAAAUUCCCAAUUUAUCCCUCCCCACCCCCUUUCUCCGGGUGUCUUUUAUUAUUUAUAACAAACCCCUUUCAACCGCACCACACCUGAGUUUAUGCUAACAGCUGAUGUUUGGAAAGCCCCUAGAUAACCUAAGGAUGGGAACUGGUUGCUAGGGAAACCAACCUUGAGAUUAGAAGGUUGGAACUUUCAGCCCCACUCCUGGGCGUGAGGUUGAAUGAAUGACCACUGGCCAAUGAAUUAAUCAAUCAUGCCUAUGCCUCUAUAAAACCCCCAAAAGGCAUGAUUUGGAGAUCUUCUGGGUGCACCUGGAGAGAGCAUGGGACGUCCGCACCCCCUCCCACACACCUUGCCCUGUCUAUCUCUUCUCUUUGGCUGUUCCCAAGUUAUAUCCUUUUGUAAUAAACUGGUAAUCCAGGAAGGAAAGUAUUUUCCUGAUUCUUUGAGCUACUCUAGAAAAAUUAAUCAAACCCAAGGAGGGGGUCAUGGGGACCUCCAAUUUAUAGCUGAUUGGUCAGAAACACAGGUGACAAACGGCACUUGUGAUUGGUCUCUGAAGGGAGGAUGGACAGUCUUGGGAGACUGAGCCCUUAACCCGCGGGAUCUGACACCAUCUCCAGGUAGACUGUCAGAAGUGAGUUUAAUUGUAGGACACCCAGCUGGUGUUAGAAGUGUGAUGGAGUGUUUUGAGUGUGAGGGAAGCGUUGAGAGUAGAGACACACAGGAGAGUUUUUUCUUUACAGAGAUGCAUUUAAAUUGAGUGAAUCCAAGUAUCUGCUUAGAAAUCUACGUAAACUCCUGAAGAAUGGAUCUCCAGGCUCAAGAUAGAUACAGAUCGAUUAGGAAAACAUUUUGACCGCGAUUUCCGGGACACUCACCUCCCUAACUUGUACUCCUCGGGUUUGUAGCCAAUGUACUUGAUCAGCCGCUCUACGCCCUCUGCUGGAGGCCCGUGCCAGUGCGGCCAGGUGUCUGGGCACAAGGACUUGUACCUAGGGAGGGGAGAGGCAUGUUUAGGAAGCCGCAGACCUUACACUAACUAGCUCCCCUAGAGGUCAGCUUCACUCCGCUGGGCACGCCAGCCACUCAGAGUAAUAGAGUAGACUCAUCACACCCACUUCCUAGAAUUCAACGAUAUAUACUCAGCAACAAAGAAGAAGAACUGUUUCAACAGGGUGGGAGGUUUGGCCUGUCUUCAUAGAACAAUGACCUCAUCAGACACUCUACCCAAGAAACUCAAUUCUGCUCCUAGGUGUAUACGCAGGAGACAUGAAAACAUGUCCGCACAAAAGCUUAUAGGUGAAUAUUCGGAGCAUCAUUAUUUAUAACUGACGAAAGGUGGAAACAACCCAAAUGUCCAUCAACAGACAAAGGAAUGUAUACACAAGUAUGGUCCAGCACGGGAAGAAAAGGUAUCAUGCUUGAUAAGGGACGAGGGAUUUUUCAAGGGUAAUUUUGGACCCAAGGUUGACUUAAGAACCUGAUUUCAGUAUAAAAUGCAACUCCCUUCUAAUAUGUGGUCGCGAUAAAGAUAACCAUGAUGUCUGUAAUAUGAUGAAAAAAGUGAAUGCAGGAUUCAGAAGUGCCUGUGGACUGAGGCUAGAAGUGAUACAACUGGAGCCACUGGACUAGAACCGCACUGCUUGGGCUGGAGCCCAGCUCAGGAGCUGGACAAGUCGCUUCACCUCCUCACUUUGCAGCACAAACAAUGAAUGACAGGACCUUCCUUGUGGGGUCGUCACAAGGUUGAAAUGAGAUACCCCGUGGAAAGUAUUUGGCACAGUCUGAGACUUCAAAACAUGUUAGCUACGGUAUUCCUGUUACGCUUCCUUCCCUUAAUAUCAUUAUAUGGUUUGUGUUACUUUAAAAUCAAAUGUCAAACCGUUAAGAACAUGUUUAUUUUCCUGGAAUUAUACUUUGUGAGAAAAUCCAUUAAGGACAUUGCAAUGAACUGAAUGUUUGUGCCCUCCCACCCCCAAGUUCAUAUGUUGAAGAAUCCUAACCCCCGAUAUGAUGGUAUUAGGAGAUGGGGCCUUUGGGAGGUGAUUAGGUCAGGAGGGUGGAUCCCUCAUCCUUGGGAUUUGUUCCCUUAUAAAAGAUACCCAGGAGAGCUCCCUUGCCUUCUUUCCACCACGUAAGGAUGUGAUGAGAAGAGAGCAGGGUGCGAUCCAGAAGAGGGCUCUCACCAGAACCUGACCGUGCUUGGCUCCCUGAUCUUGGAUUUCCAGCCUCCAGAACUGUGAGAAAUAAACUUGUUGUU